rnacentral:rRNA from 1 species
UGGGUGACCUGCCCUCAGCUCUGGGAUAAGCCUGGGAAACUGGGUCUAAUACUGGAUAUUCACUUCUCAUCGCAUGGUGGGUGGUGGUAAAGUUUUUCGGCUGGGGAUGGGCUCGCGGCCUAUCAGCUUGUUGGGUGGGGUGAUGGCCUACCAAGGCGGCGACGGGUAGCCGGCCUGAGGAGGGCGACCGGCCACACGUGGGACUGAGACACGGCCCAGACCUCCGUACGGGAG